AAGUUCUGGAAAUCCAGUAGUGUAAACUGGUGACUAUCUUUGUUGGUGCGUGUGUUCAUCAAGAAGAAGUCUCAUCUUGAUCUCGUGAGGGUUUGGUGAGUAACUCUAGGGAUAAGGUGGCAUUGUAAUAGAAGCGAGUGAGUUGGAUAGAUAGGCCAUGUGUGAGCUG